UGGGGAAUUUUGGACAAUGGGCGAAAGCCUGAUCCAGCAAUGCCGCGUGUGUGAAGAAGGCCUUCGGGUUGUAAAGCACUUUUGUCCGGAAAGAAAUCCUUGGCUCUAAUACAGUCGGGGGAUGACGGUACCGGAAGAAUAAGCACCGGCUAACUACGUGCCAGCAGCCGCGGUAAUACGUAGGGUGCAAGCGUUAAUCGGAAUUACUGGGCGUAAGCGUGCGCAGGCGGUUUGCUAAGACCGAUGUGAAAUCCCCGGGCUCAACCUGGGAACUGCAUUGGUGACUGGCAGGCUAGAGUAUGGCAGAGGGGGGUAGAAUUCCACGUGUAGCAGUGAAAUGCGUAGAGAUGUGGAGGAAUACCGAUGGCGAAGGCAGCCCCCUGGGCCAAUACUGACGCUCAUGCACGAAAGCGUGGGGAGCAAAACAGGAUUAGAUACCCUGGUAGUCCACGCCCUAAACGAUGUCAACUAGUUGUUGGGGAUUCAUUUCCUUAGUAACGUAGCUAACGCGUGAAGUUGACCGCCUGGGGAGUACGGUCG
rnacentral:rRNA from 1 species